GGAUUAAGUCAGGCUGCAUUGACUGUGGGACUUUAAAGUGUUAAAAGCAGGUACAGUACGUGAUAUUAAGGGCAGGCGGUCAACACUGGGGGAAGACAAGAAGCAGACGUACUUCCAAGAGGGAGCUGCAGUGAGGACACAGCCUGGUCACUGAGGAGGCGCUGAAAGGUUUCCCUAAUAGUUCCUGGUGAAUCAAAGCAGGACCAUAAAGGUUGCUGGACUGCAUGAUGGCCUUACCCCUGAGCAGUCGUCCUGUUAAAGGAGGAACCAGUUAGAAGCUGUUUUCAAAGUAGCUGAGCAGAUUUCAUCUCAAAUCAAAGCAGCUCGUGCUCUUUCUGCUUCCAUUCUGAUGGCAAGAAGAAGAAGAAGGAGAAGAAUGCUUCAGCGAAGUGGC
ensembl:lncRNA